UGAGAGCUCCAAGCACCGCGACUGCCGCACUGGACCUGGAUGCCCUGCCAGGUGACUUUGAGGUUGCACCAGAAAAGAGGCUCUUGGCCCAGUCCACAGCUCCACUCCCAAGCGACCCCUGUCAUCCUGGUCCGAGAUGGUGCAUCAAGGCCGGUUUCCAGACUUGAUUGAGAGGCUAGCUUCUCCAUGACCACAACCGCGGCUAACCCUCCAAAAACACUUCUGGGCGCAACUGGCUAAGACUCGAGCGCUGUGAAGACAGCUCGUCUAUCUACCAUGAGAAGCACCUGACAGAGGAUGCUGCAGGAGGCCGCAUUCAGAUGCUCGGGGGGGGUCUUCCACCAACCCAGCCACCUCAGUCCUCUACCUCCUAUCAGACAACGCACUGCACGCUGCCAGCAGAGCACCAACAAACCCGUCCUGAAGAGAGACCUGUCUUUACAGAGGAUCAAAUCUCCAGGUUGAAACCCAGGGCAUCUUUAAAGUCAGUGGAAGAAAAAAACACCUCGUCCUAGUGCUUCCACAGAAACUUCGUAAACUUCUCUUCUAGCUCCUUCCUCUCCAGCUGUGUUGACUCAGUGCAUGAAUGGCUCAUUUUGAGUUAUUGCUUCAUUUCCAGAAUCUAUCUCUCCCUGCCUAUUCAAUGUCUGUCAGAUUUAUGAGUAUGAUUUUUUUAUUAUUGUUCUUCAGUAUGGAUAUUGAUAAAGCUUGUGGCCGGAACUAGGCGGGCUGGAAUCAGAGUGACAUUUAGGAAGAGAGAGAGACUUGGAUGAUAAAUGCUCUGCCAGGUUCUCGGAUUUCGCUCACCUGAAAAGAUGAUUGUUUCUGGUUGACAUUUGAAGCCUGAUGCAGAGACCAAAAUGUCAAAUAAAUCUCUUUCCAUUU